UACAGAGGUCCCAAGCGUUGUUCGGAUUCACUGGGCGUAAAGGGUGCGUAGGCGGUUGGGUAAGUCUGAUGUGAAAUCUCCGAGCCUAACUCGGAAACUGCAUCGGAUACUAUUCGACUAGAGGAUUGGAAGGGAGACUGGAAUUCUCGGUGUAGCAGUGAAAUGCGUAGAUAUCGAGAGGAACACCAGUGGCGAAGGCGAGUCUCUGGACAAUUCCUGACGCUGAGGCACGAAAGCCAGGGGAGCAAACGGG
rnacentral:rRNA from 1 species